GGGUCGGUAGCUCAGUCGGUAGAGCAGCGGACUUUUAAUCCGUUGGUCGCGAGUUCGAGCCUCGCCCGACCCA
rnacentral:tRNA from 1 species